rnacentral:rRNA from 1 species
AGCAGCCGCGGUAAUUCCAGCUCCAAUAGCGUAUAUUAAAGUUGUUGCAGUUAAAAAGCUCGUAGUUGAAUUUCGGGAUCAAUUUAUUGGUCGUGCUAUUAUACGUACUGGUAUUAUUGAUUCCUACCUUCUGACGAACCAUGAUGUCAUUAAUUUGGUGUCAUGGGGAAUCAGGACUGUUACUUUGAAAAAAUUAGAGUGUUUAAAGCAGGCUCACGCUUGAAUACAUUAGCAUGGAAUAACGAAAUAGGACGUUUGAUUUUACUUUGUUGGUUUCUAGGAUCGACGUAAUGAUUAAUAGGGAUAGUUGGGGGCAUUAGUAUUCAAUUGUCAGAGGUGAAAUUCUUGGAUUUAUUGAAGACUAACUACUGCGAAAGCAUUUGCCAAGGAUGUUUUCAUUAAUCAAGAACGAAAGUUAGGGGAUCGAAGACGAUCAGAUACCGUCGUAGUCUUAUCCGUGAACAAGUCCGGUGCUUGUUGGACAAGCAAUGUUACGA